rnacentral:rRNA from 1 species
UACGUAGGCAGCAAGCGUUGUUCGGAGUUACUGGGCGUAAAGAGUAUGUAGGCGGUUGCGUAAGUUCGGUGUGAAAUCUCCCGGCUUAACUGGGAGGGUGCGCCGAAAACUGCGUGGCUUGAGUGCGGGAGAGGAGAGCGGAAUUCCUGGUGUAGCGGUGAAAUGCGUAGAUAUCAGGAGGAACACCGGCGGUGUAGACGGCUCUCUGGACCGUAACUGACGCUGAGAUACGAAAAGCGUGGGUAGCAAACAGG